CUGACUUGGAGAACUUAGCUCGUGCCUUACGCAGUGCUUUGAGCUAUCUGAAUUAGGCACCUACAUCAGAUGCUGGAAGGCGAAGGUAGUCAGAUGGCCCAGGAAAAAGUGACUAAUGCCAGCUGUGAGAAACUCUGCGAGGCAGAGCAGCCUUUUGGCCUGAACCAAACAGCUCCAUGCUACCAGGAGGAGGAGCUGUCCCAGGAGCUCAGCUCCUUCAUUUUGGGAAGAUGCCCCCCUGUAGGUGCUGUGAAGGAGCCAGGGGAGGCAAAGGAAGGCACCAGGUUAUCGGACUUGGAGAAGGGAGAGCCUGAAGGAAGAGUCUUUCAGGAGUUUUCCUAGGCAGAACAGCUGCUCCUUCUCCUCUCUUUCUCCUUCUGCCCAUGGGCCACGUCCAGGUUUGAUUUCUUCACGCCCACUUGCCAUGUUCAGCUGGAUCAAGAGUCAAAACGGGCUGCAGAUGGAGAACUCCCCAGCAGGAGUCACAGACGAUAGCAUUGGCAAUUCCAGAUCUUUGGUGGCUCUCAGUCAUCUGUCAAGUGUUAAGGUUCUGCUGAAUCCAUCAGAAAUAAAGAAUUGGGUGUUAGAGGCAAGGGGCAACCUGGAUGUAUAAAGGAAGCCGAACUGCUGUUCUCAAAAUCCCUUAUCCUCCACAUUGCCUGCGAGAUCUGGCAUUUGCUGAAGAGCCAAGGAGAUGAGCAAGCUGCUAAGAAUGGAGCAACUCUUAAAGGGGUAUUUAUUCGUGGCUAAGGAGCAGAUAUUCACAUAACUGCAGGAAGACAGGGACUGAUGUUAAGAAAAUGCUGCAGCUGUGUUAAACUCAGGCAUGUGGACCCUGUGUCUAGCACUAAUCAACAUAGUCACCCAGUUACAUGAAUUGACCCUGGAGUAUUUUUGUGCAAACAAAUUACU